CACUGCCAAACAACCACAGACUAACUUUGAUUAAACGAGGAAACCGGUCUACUUGUUGAAAAUGUGGUAAUGAGAUAGUUUCCACCCAGACGGGAAGCCCAGUUCUGGCGGGGGAGGGGCGCCUGCGUUUCUUCUGCUCCCUCUGCCCACCAGGAAGGCACCUCUCCAGUCUCGCUUGACCUCCUGUUUGGGGAAGAUGCCCAAGGAGCCCCGCAAGGCAGGUAUCUCCCAGCUUCUGUGAGGAUCGCUUGGAUCGAGUAUUGUUCUGAGCCAAGUGGACUGGCAACUCCGAGGGAGAGAGAGUCUCCAGGCCCCGGGCACUGCCUCCACUUCUGAAAGGUGACUUCUGCAAUUUAUUUUUAUCAUAUAUUACACGAUGAUGUUUUAUGGAGGGCUUCAAAUUUCGAGAUGACUCGGAGUGGGAUCAAGAAACCUGAUAGAGAAGAGAGGAGUGUAGCAUUCCCUGGACUUGUUGGUGAUCCCUACUUAAUUUAAUGCAUUCAGUCGUGUUAAAAGGGCUGUCCCCGUUUCCUUCUCAAAUGUCCUUUGUAGUUAGCAAGAGCUGGCAGGUUUGACUAACUUUUUCAUUUUCUUUUCCUGCUGACUCCUCACUUGCAGUUUUCGGGUUUUCCUGCCCUGAACACUGAAUUCUUUUUAAGUCGAGUAUCUAUGUUGGCUCCAUUUCAGCUCCAGGGAUUUACGUGCAGUUUCCAAACUGUCUUUCUUGUAAUAGUUCCACAGUAACAUAAAUAACUUGUGAAAUAGGAGGAUCAUAUCGCAUUGUUCUUCUAACGAAGGCUAAGUCUCCAAAGAUGAUCCCAAUAAAUGUUAAAUGUAGCAAAUUAGGAGGGCUUU